UACAGAGGGGGCAAGCGUUGUUCGGAAUUACUGGGCGUAAAGGGUGCGUAGGCGGUCGGGUAAGUCUGAUGUGAAAUCUCCAAGCUCAACUUGGAAAUGGCAUCGGAUACUAUUCGGCUCGAGGAAUGGAGGGGAGACUGGAAUACUUGGUGUAGCAGUGAAAUGCGUAGAUAUCAAGUGGAACACCAGUGGCGAAGGCGAGUCUCUGGACAUUUCCUGACGCUGAGGCACGAAAGCCAGGGGAGCAAACGGG
rnacentral:rRNA from 1 species